AUCGAACGCUGGCGGCAGGCUUAAUACAUGCAAGUCGAGCGAGCGGCGGACGGGUGAGUAAUGUCGGGGAAACUGCCUGAUGGAGGGGGAUAACUACUGGAAACGGUAGCUAAUACCGCAUACCAUCAGAUGUGCCCAGAUGGGAUUAGCUAGUAGGUGGGGUAAUGGCCCACCUAGGCGACGAUCCCUAGCUGGUCUGAGAGGAAGACCAGCCACACUGGAACUGAGACACGGUCCAGACUCCUACGGGAGGCAGCAGUGGGGAAUAUUGCGCAAUGGGCGCAAGCCUGAUGCAGCCAUGCCGCGUGUGUGAAGAAGGCCUUCGGGUUGUAAAGCACUUUCAGCGAGGAGGCGUUACUCACAGAGGAAGCACCGGCUAACUCCGUGCCAGCAGCCGCGGUAAUUC
rnacentral:rRNA from 1 species